GCCCUGGUGGCACAGUGGUUAAAUGCCUGUACUGCAACUACAAGGUUGUGAGUUCAAUACUAGCCAGGGCU